AUUGAGUUAAAUUUUGAAUUGACGUACUUUUAGUUUCGAAACAAUAUUAUUGUCAAUCAAUAUUAUUUCUCCCAUUUGAGUGGAAACUAACUCUUGAUUGACGAUCCGAUAUUUCAGCAGAGGACAAUGUGCUUUUAUUUUCUUGUGAACAAGAUGGCGAUGGACGACAACUAUGUUAUUAUUCCGCGAGAAGGGUUUAAGGAUGAUAUAUGGAACUACAACAUAAUAUGGAUACUGCAAGAUAGCCAUUUUUUGUUAUUAGUUUAGAUGUAUCAAUGACAAUUGUUGAUUUUGAUUAUCUUUGAUGUUUCACAAAAAUGUUAUUGUAUUUUUUUUGUUUAAAUUAAUAAAACCUCAACACUGUCUUUUACAGAUUUAUAAUGGAGUUUUGUAAGUGCUUUGAAGGGAUAA